UACAGAGGUCUCGAGCGUUAGGCGGAAUCACUGGGCUUAAAGCGUGUGUAGGCGGAUCGUUAAGUGCCUUGUGAAAUCCCACGGCUCAACCGUGGAACUGCUUGGCAUACUGGCGGUCUUGAGCAACCUAGGGGCGAGCGGAACAAAUGGUGGAGCGGUGAAAUGCGUAGAUAUCUGGAGGAACAUCGGUGGCGAAGGCGGCAUCCUGGACCGGUAUUGACGCUGAGGCGCGAAAGCCAGGGGAGCAAACGGG
rnacentral:rRNA from 1 species